AAAGAAGAAGAAGAAGAAGGAGAAGGCGGAACUGAUUGAUUUUAAUGCAGCUUGAAAAUUAGUGAUUCAGAGGAUCCCGAGCUGGAGGAAGAGCUUCAGGCUGCUGACGAACUCCUUCAAGAUAUGCAGAAUGAUGCACAGAGUGUCCCCAGUGUCCAGAGAUCAGCAUCAAUGUCCACGUGAAGAACCUAGUUAUGUUGCCAGUGUCAACCCAACAAAAGUGUAUGGAACUGAGGUGCUCCGUCAGGAGCUCCUUCAGUUGUUGGAGGAUGGAGAAGAGGACGCAGCCAUGACUUGUGAGAUGGCGUCUGAGUCAGCUGCUACUCACUGGGCGAUCAGAAACAUGGUGUCCUCACAAAAGUGGAAAGAGGCCAGGCCUUGUCUUACAGACAAUAUGUUAGCUGCUCUGGAUCCACAGUCACACCGUGUGUGUCAGUGUGGCAAACAAGUAGUUGUGAGGUGUCUGGACUGCCUGCCUCUUCCGUUCCUUUGUGCUGACUGUGAUAUUGCAGUUCACACACGCUUUGUCCUGCACAACAGAGAGGCAGUAACAGGAGGGUUUUUGCAGCCUUCAUCAGAGUUUCACAAGCCAAUAGUUCAGCUGUUGCCUGUGCAAAGGCCAGACCAUGUGUGUGACUGCCCAGCAGGUAACGUUGAGGUUUCACCCGGCGCAAUUGUGGCUCUUGUAACCAUAAAUGGCCGUUAUAACCUUGCACUGCCAGUGGUGAGCUGCACCAGCUGUGGCCUAAUGUGGUCCCCCUCAGUUAAGGACAUCCUGGGUAGUGGAUAUUGGCCUGGCACCUUAAAUUUCUGCACCCUGUUUUCAAUGGAUUUCUUUCAGUCUUUCUAUGACAUUAAGAAGGCUGCACCAGGGAUGUCACUUAAGGCAUUUGUCAAAAUGCUAGAUGAAAGAACAGCCCAUUUUAGAAGGACUGGCCGAAUAUCAGCUGAUGCCUUCAGUAAAAGCUUGUGGAGUGGAGUGCUGUAAAGUUUAAGGUGGACAGGAUGUGCAAGGAGCCAAGGAGCCAUGCAUUAGCUGCCCUGCCUGCACUCCAGACAUGCUUGCCGUCUCAGUUGAUGGAAACCGUAAGCUUUAUCGCUUUCAAUCUAAUGCAAGCACUUCAGAGCAGGCGAACUUUGAAGGUGUCUUCAUUGAAAAAGAUGAGGAAGUUGCUGAGUUUAUGAAAUACAUACAGAGACACACAAAUCGUUGCUGUCCCGGGGAGAUGAGGUCUUGUGUGACUUAAGGUUAAUUCAUCUAAUUGUUAUGCAUUUGUUUAAAAAAAAAAAAUUGUCCCUGAUAGGGCUUAAUCAUGUCAUGUCUUUUAUGUUAAAAUCUUUGAGUGUAUAGGUCCCGGGGAAAGGGUUGUGCGGAUCUUCAUCUUGGACUGCAGCAAAGGAGUCCACUGGGAAGUUGGAUGAAGAGGGCAUGGAAAUAGCUGUUUGUCGCCACGGAGUCCUCUUAGCUGCAUUGAACAUGUUUCGAGGGGAGAUCUUUGCUUACCCCCUUUUUCUCCAGAGGAAGUUGGCAGCUAGCGUCCCAGGACAUAUUACGUUCCUUUGCUCCGAUGUGGCCUGUAAAUAUUUCCCAUAUUUAACCAAGGUGGCUCAGCAGUGCCCUGAGCUGAGGAACCUCUUGUCAAUGCGUCCUUUUCUCUCCGUCAUGCAUGCAAAGGCUCACACUUGGAAAUGCGAGAUCAAAUGGGGAGGUGCGUUUCAGGAUGGGGCCGGUUCAACAGUUGGAGAAGAGGUGGAACAAGUAAACAGUUUCCUGUCUAGGGCGGCCAUUGAAGUACAUGUCCAAAGCAGGGCGAACAGACUUGCUGACCAUCCUGGCUUCGGGGUGGAACAAAAGGAAAGUGGAACAACUGGGCCGCAGUUUGAGCCAGAGAUAUCUAAAGAUCAUAAGGAUCCUUAGAGAACAAGUGGAAAGCCUGAAUGCGACCAGAAAUGAGCUGGGUGUGGAUGACGACGCACUGCAGCAAUGGGUGGCCGAUGUGCAGAAAUGGCUGAAGAUAGUAACAAGAGGCGACACAGAAUUCGCAAGGUCAUCAUAGUUGAGAAGAAAUGCUUGGCGGCUGCUGUUGACGACUACAACAAGCUUGCUGAACCAACAAAGCAAAUCGUAUCCAGUGAUGCCCUCAUGCAGACCGACAUUUGGCCCUGGCAGAGCACAAGUGAACCUGCUGCUGACCUCCAGACAAAGAGAAAGGUCUUUGAGAAGGUGAUGGCUGUGAGGCGCCUGAGAGAGGAGGAGAUGAUCCUUUGCAGGGAGAUGCGGCAUCACUGGACAGUGUUGUGAAUGCGAUCUGUGGUGUUGGGGACAAUCUCCUCAGACUCCUCCCUUGUUGGCAUGUCAGAGGAUGCACAGAAGGGACUCCAUAGCCUGGUUU